rnacentral:rRNA from 1 species
AGCGAACGCUGGCGGCAGGCCUAACACAUGCAAGUCGAACGAACCUUUCGGGGUUAGUGGCGGACGGGUGAGUAACACGUGGGAACGUGCCUUUAGGUUCGGAAUAACUCAGGGAAACUUGUGCUAAUACCGAAUGUGCCCUUCGGGGGAAAGAUUUAUCGCCUUUAGAGCGGCCCGCGUCUGAUUAGCUAGUUGGUUGAGGUAAUGGCUCACCAAGGCGACGAUCAGUAGCUGGUCUGAGAGGAUGAUCAGCCACAUUGGGACUGAGACACGGCCCAAACUCCUACGGGAGGCAGCAGUGGGGAAUCUUGCGCAAUGGGCGAAAGCCUGACGGAGCCAUGCCGCGUGAAUGAUGAAGGUCUUAGGAUUGUAAAAUUCUUUCACCGGGGACGAUAAUGACGGUACCCGGAGAAGAAGCCCCGGCUAACUUCGUG